rnacentral:rRNA from 1 species
AGCAGCCGCGGUAAUUCCAGCUCCAAUAGCGUAUAUUAAAGUUGUUGCAGUUAAAAAGCUCGUAGUUGAAUUUCGGGAUCAAUUUGCUGGUCGUGCCUCUGGUACGUACUGGUAUUAUUGGUUUCUCCCUUCUGACGGACCAUGAUGUCAUUAAUUUGAUGUCGUGGAGAAUCAGGACUGUUACUUUGAAAAAAUUAGAGUGUUUAAAGCAGGCAUUAGCUUGAAUACAUUAGCAUGGAAUAAUGAAAUAGGACGUUUGAUCCUAUUUUGUUGGUUUCUAGGAUUGACGUAAUGAUUAAUAGGGUAGUUGGGGGCAUUAGUAUUCAAUUGUCAGAGGUGAAAUUCUUGGAUUUUAUUGAAGACUUAACUACUGCGAAAGCAUUUGCCAAGGAUGUUUUCAUUAAUCAAGAACGAAAGUUAGGGGAUCGAAGACGAUCAGAUACCGUCGUAGUCUUAACCAUAAACUAUAGCCGACUAGGGAUCGGAUGAUGUUAAUUUUUAAUUGUACUUCAUUC